GAUGAACGCUGGCGGCGUGCCUAAUACAUGCAAGUCGAACGAAGUCUUCGGACUUCGUGGCGAACGGGUGAGUAACACGUUGGUACCUACCCCGAAGUGGGGAAUAACUGCCCGAAAGGGUGGCUAAUACCGCAUAAUACCGCAAGGUUAAAGCAGUAAUGCGCUUCGGGAGGGGCCUGCGGCCCAUUAGGUGGUUGGUAGGGUAAAGGCCUACCAAGGCGACGGAGGGUAGCUGGAUCGAGAGGUUGACCAGCCACACUGGACUGAGACACGGCCCAGAGUCCUACGGGAGGCAGCAGUAAGGAAUCUUCCACAAUGGACGAAAGUCUGAUGGAGCAACGCCGCGUGCAGGAUGACGGCCUUCGGGUUGUAAACCUCUUUUAGUAGGGAAGAAGCGAAAGUGACGGUACCUGCAGAAAAAGCACCGGCUAACUACGUGCCAGCCGCCGCAGUAA
rnacentral:rRNA from 1 species